GGGUUGUGAGGUUAAGCGACUAAGCGUACACGGUGGAUGCCCUGGCAGUCAGAGGCGAUGAAGGACGUGCUAAUCUGCGAUAAGCGUCGGUAAGGUGAUAUGAACCGUUAUAACCGGCGAUUUCCGAAUGGGGAAACCCAGUGUGUUUCGACACACUAUCAUUAACUGAAUCCAUAGGUUAAUGAGGCGAACCGGGGGAACUGAAACAUCUAAGUACCCCGAGGAAAAGAAAUCAACCGAGAUUCCCCCAGUAGCGGCGAGCGAACGGGGAGCAGCCCAGAGC
rnacentral:rRNA from 1 species